CAGGCUGCAUUUGGAUCAUCAGAUCCUUGACAAAUCGGGGGAGCGUCUUUUGAUCUUUGUUCAUAGCACUCAUUGGAAGUAGGCUUGCGAUAUACAGCAACCCCUACUCCAUUGACUCUAUCUUUGGUUUUUGAAACAAGAUCCCAGCACAUUGCCUUUGUCAACUUCUGCAUGGCUUCCCAGAUCUCAACAUCUUCGGGGAGCUUCUGGUAGACAGGAGUAGCAGACCACACAAAAAGUCCACCAGGUCGAAGUACACGAUUCAGCUCCAGGAGAAGUUUCCCCCCUUCAAUAUGCCAGGGCACUCUACAACGUGCACAAUGAACAACGUCAAAGACUCGACUAGGAAAGGGAAGCCUCUUUGUACCCAUAACAGCAGAUAUAGCAGGAAUACCCCUCUCAAGAGCAAACUGAACCUGAGCUUCAUGUUCAUCUUUAGGAGCUAAAGACAUGGCCAAAACAUCUCUUUCGAAAAGAUAACCCCCAAAGCUUGCAACCCCACAUCCAACAUCUAAUAUAACCCGAGUUUGCUUUCCCCAGGCAAUUUCUGGAAAAGACUGCUGUAUGAAAUCAAUAUAGUGCAGAGCGCCAUGCUUGAACUGGGUUCCCCCACCAGGGAAGGUAAGGUAUUCACCACUAACUUUUACCCAAUUUUGAUGUCCUUUAAUUUCUGCAAGCUUUGUAUGGGGAACAUUGUGGUACCAUAUCUUUUCCCUACUCGUAGGCCACUCAACUGAAUGUUGAUAUCCUUCAGGAAGUGGAACAAG
rnacentral:misc_RNA from 1 species